rnacentral:rRNA from 1 species
UGGGGAAUAUUGCACAAUGGGCGCAAGCCUGAUGCAGCCAUGCCGCGUGUAUGAAGAAGGCCUUCGGGUUGUAAAGUACUUUCAGUCGGGAGGAAGGUGGUAAGGUUAAUAACCUUAUCAAUUGACGUUACCGACAGAAGAAGCACCGGCUAACUCCGUGCCAGCAGCCGCGGUAAUACGGAGGGUGCAAGCGUUAAUCGGAAUUACUGGGCGUAAAGCGCACGCAGGCGGUUGAUUGAGUCAGAUGUGAAAUCCCCGGGCUUAACCCGGGAAUUGCAUCUGAUACUGGUCAUCUAGAGUCUUGUAGAGGGGGGUAGAAUUCCAUGUGUAGCGGUGAAAUGCGUAGAGAUGUGGAGGAAUACCGGUGGCGAAGGCGGCCCCCUGGACAAAGACUGACGCUCAGGUGCGAAAGCGUGGGGAGCAAACAGG